GGGAGCUAACGUGCGAAAACUAGUUUUCUGGGAAACGCUGUUAAAAAUAAUCAUCAGUUUCUCGUUAUCUCAUUAAUUGUUCUCCUUUUUUUUGACACCUAAGCCCCCUUUCCGUAGACCAGGUCACAUAUAAUUAAAAAAAACUUUGUUUUCAAUUAAAAAAAAAACAUAAAACUUUAGAAUACAAAAUUUUAACAUAAAUUAAAAAAUUUGAAGAAUUUUAAUUUCAAAUUUAAGUUUACAAAUUUUAGAAAGAAUUAAAUUUUGCAACA